GUGGGAUAGAGCCAAACAGAGUGACGUUGUGGUACUAUCACCUUACAGAGUUCAGGUCGAGGUAAUCCGACAGGAGAUGAGGAAGAGAAGCCUACACGCUGUGACGGUUGAGACAGUGCAGAAUGUGCAAGGGAAGCAGUAUCGCGCUGUCUUUUUGAGCACUGUGAGAAC